GACGUAGGGCGCGAGCGUUGUCCGGAUUUAUUGGGCGUAAAGGGCUCGUAGGCGGUCUGUUGCGUCAGGAGUGAAAACUCGGGGCUUAACCCCGAGCCUGCAGUGGAUACGGGCAGACUAGAGGUAGGUAGGGGAGAAUGGAAUUCCCGGUGUAGCGGUGAAAUGCGCAGAUAUCGGGAGGAACACCGGUGGCGAAGGCGGUUCUCUGGGCCUUACCUGACGCUGAGGAGCGAAAGCGUGGGGAGCGAACAGG
rnacentral:rRNA from 1 species